AUUGAACGCUGGCGGCAUGCUUUACACAUGCAAGUCGAACGGUAACAGGCCGCAAGGUGCUGACGAGUGGCGAACGGGUGAGUAAUGCAUCGGAACGUGCCCAGUCGUGGGGGAUAACGCAGCGAAAGCUGCGCUAAUACCGCAUACGAUCUCUGGAUGAAAGCGGGGGACCGAAAGGCCUCGCGCGAUUGGAGCGGCCGAUGUCAGAUUAGGUAGUUGGUGGGGUAAAGGCCCACCAAGCCAACGAUCUGUAGCUGGUCUGAGAGGACGACCAGCCACACUGGGACUGAGACACGGCCCAGACUCCUACGGGAGGCAGCAGUGGGGAAUUUUGGACAAUGGGCGCAAGCCUGAUCCAGCAAUGCCGCGUGCAGGAAGAAGGCCUUCGGGUUGUAAACUGCUUUUGUACGGAACGAAACGGUCCGGGCUAAUACCCUGGGCUAAUGACGGUACCGUAAGAAUAAGCACCGGCUAACUACGUGCCAGCCGCCGCUGUAACAC
rnacentral:rRNA from 1 species